rnacentral:rRNA from 1 species
GAGUUUGAUCCUGGCUCAGGAUGAACGCUGGCGGCGUGCCUAAUACAUGCAAGUCGAACGAAACUUCUUUAUCACCGAGUGCUUGCACUCACCGAUAAAGAGUUGAGUGGCGAACGGGUGAGUAACACGUGGGCAACCUGCCCAAAAGAGGGGGAUAACACUUGGAAACAGGUGCUAAUACCGCAUAACCAUAGUUACCGCAUGGUAACUAUGUAAAAGGUGGCUAUGCUACCGCUUUUGGAUGGGCCCGCGGCGCAUUAGCUAGUUGGUGAGGUAAAGGCUUACCAAGGCAAUGAUGCGUAGCCGAACUGAGAGGUUGAUCGGCCACAUUGGGACUGAGACACGGCCCAAACUCCUACGGGAGGCAGCAGUAGGGAAUCUUCCACAAUGGGCGAAAGCCUGAUGGAGCAACGCCGCGUGGGUGAAGAAGGUCUUCGGAUCGUAAAACCCUGUUGUUAGAGAAGAAAGUGCGUGAGAGUAACUGUUCAUGUUUCGACGGUAUCUAACCAGAAAGCCACGGCUAACUACGUGCCAGCAGCCGCGGUAAUACGUAGGUGGCAAGCGUUAUCCGGAUUUAUUGGGCGUAAAGGGAACGCAGGCGGUCUUUUAAGUCUGAUGUGAAAGCCUUCGGCUUAACCGGAGUAGUGCAUUGGAAACUGGGAGACUUGAGUGCAGAAGAGGAGAGUGGAACUCCAUGUGUAGCGGUGAAAUGCGUAGAUAUAUGGAAGAACACCAGUGGCGAAAGCGGCUCUCUGGUCUGUAACUGACGCUGAGGUUCGAAAGCGUGGGGAGCAAACAGG